rnacentral:rRNA from 1 species
GACGAACGCUGGCGGCGUGCCUAACACAUGCAAGUCGAACGAAGUGUUGCGCUGAUUUGAUGGUAGCUUGCUACUGGAUUUUCUUGUAACACUUAGUGGCGGACGGGUGAGUAACGCGUGAGCAAUCUGCCUCAGACAGGGGGAUAACGCAUCGAAAGAUGUGCUAAUACCGCGUAAGACCACAGCACCGCAUGGUGCAGGGGUCAAAGGAGCAAUCCGGUGUGAGGUGGCCUCGCGUCUGAUUAGGUAGUUGGUGAGGUAACGGCCCACCAAGCCGACGAUCAGUAGCCGACCUGAGAGGGUGAUCGGCCACAUUGGAACUGAGAUACGGUCCAGACUCCUACGGGAGGCAGCAGUGGGGAAUAUUGGGCAAUGGGCGAAAGCCUGACCCAGCGACGCCGCGUGAGGGAAGAAGGUCUUCGGAUUGUAAACCUCUUUCAGCAGGGAAGAAGCAAGUGACGGUACCUGCAGAAGAAGUCACGG